UAAUGAACAACAUACAAAACGAUUAUAAUGCUAUGCUCAAAGUGUAUAUAAGCCAUUUUCGCAUGGCUAUCCAAAUUUAUACAAAACCAAAGGGUACAUGACCAACAACAAAAAGGGUAGUCCUAUACAUGCCAUUUUCAGAGUUCAACCAAAAGUGUACCAAAAGGGCUUUGAUAGUGUGGACGACUUCGACUUCGACAAUCCCGAGUCCGAUAGCUGACGAACCAAAAUCUAUAAAACAGAGAAUCAAAGAAACUGAAUAAGCAUUUAAUGCUUAGUAAGUUUUGAGCAAUGAAAUUAGGCACAACUGAA
rnacentral:lncRNA from 1 species